rnacentral:sRNA from 1 species
UUUUGUUUUUCUUCUUCG